rnacentral:rRNA from 1 species
ACAGGCACCUUGCUCCUGGGAUUAGUGGCGAACGGGUGAGUAACACGUGAGUAACCUGCCCUUGACUCUGGGAUAAGCGUUGGAAACGACGUCUAAUACCGGAUAUGAGCUGCGGCCGCAUGGUCUGCAGUUGGAAAGAAUUUUGGUCAAGGAUGGACUCGCGGCCUAUCAGGUGGUUGGUGAGGUAAUGGCUCACCAAGCCUACGACGGGUAGCCGGCCUGAGAGGGUGACCGGCCACACUGGGACUGAGACACGGCCCAGACUCCUACGGGAGGCAGCAGUGGGGAAUAUUGCACAAUGGGCGAAAGCCUGAUGCAGCAACGCCGCGUGAGGGACGACGGCCUUCGGGUUGUAAACCUCUUUUAGUUGGGAAGAAGGGAGCUUGCUCUUGACGGUACCAGCAGAAAAAGCACCGGCUAACUACGUGCCAGCAGCCGCGGUAAUACGUAGGGUGCAAGCGUUGUCCGGAAUUAUUGGGCGUAAAGAGCUCGUAGGCGGUUUGUCGCGUCUGCUGUGAAAUCUGGGGGCUCAACCCCCAGCCUGCAGUGGGUACGGGCAGACUAGAGUGCGGUAGGGGAGAUUGGAAUUCCUGGUGUAGCGGUGGAAUGCGCAGAUAUCAGGAGGAACACCGAUGGCGAAGGCAGAUCUCUGGGCCGUUACUGACGCUGAGGAGCGAAAGCAUGGGGAGCGAACAGGAUUAGAUACCCUGGUAGUCCAUGCCGUAAACGUUGGGAACUAGAUGUAGGGGCCAUUCCACGGUUUCUGUGUCGCAGCUAACGCAUUAAGUUCCCCGCCUGGGGAGUACGGCCGCAAGGCUAAAACUCAAAGGAAUUGACGGGGGCCCGCACAAGCGGCGGAGCAUGCGGAUUAAUUCGAUGCAACGCGAAGAACCUUACCAAGGCUUGACAUAUACCGGAAACGUCCAGAGAUGGUCGCCCCGCAAGGUCGGUAUACAGGUGGUGCAUGGUUGUCGUCAGCUCGUGUCGUGAGAUGUUGGGUUAAGUCCCGCAACGAGCGCAACCCUCGUUCUAUGUUGCCAGCACGUUAUGGUGGGAACUCAUAGGAGACUGCCGGGGUCAACUCGGAGGAAGGUGGGGAUGACGUCAAAUCAUCAUGCCCCUUAUGUCUUGGGCUUCACGCAUGCUACAAUGGCCGAUACAAAGGGCUGCAAUACCGCGAGGUGGAGCGAAUCCCAAAAAGUCGGUCUCAGUUCGGAUUGAGGUCUGCAACUCGACCUCAUGAAGUCGGAGUCGCUAGUAAUCGCAGAUCAGCAACGCUGCGGUGAAUACGUUCCCGGGCCUUGUACACACCGCCCGUCAAGUCAUGAAAGUCGGUAACACCCGAAGCCGG